rnacentral:rRNA from 1 species
CGGGUGAGUAAUGUAUGGGGAUCUGCCUGAUGGCGGGGGAUAACUACUGGAAACGGUAGCUAAUACCGCAUAAUGUCUGCGGACCAAAGCGGGGGACCUCCGGGCCUCGCGCCAUCAGAUGAACCCAUAUGGGAUUAGCCAGUAGGUAAGGUAACGGCUUACCUAGGCGACGAUCCCUAGCUGGUCUGAGAGGAUGAUCAGCCACACUGGGACUGAGACACGGCCCAG